UUUCUUGCAGCUGUGAGCACCUCCUUCAAUUCCUUUGAGAAUUGCAUUCUGGGAGUGUCCAUCAACAACACUCUCAAAAAUGAAGUUCUUCAUUUUGCAGGGCCUGUUGUCGCUCCCUUUCCUUCACCAGCUGCACACCACAGUAGGUCACCAGUAACACUGAGAGGGUGGACAGAGGAAAUCCUGGAGGAAGUGGAGCAGGAGAAAAAAAGGGAAAAAGUAUGACUUUAAAGGAAUAAAAUGGUGGAAAAGAGAAGAGCUUGGCCACCCACAGCUCAAAGUUCAGGCCGAAGCAGUUGAAAAAGGACCAGAUGUAAACCAGCUCA